rnacentral:rRNA from 1 species
UUAAUGUCUUGUAAUUGGAAUGAUGGGAAUUUAAACCUCUUCCAGAGUAUCAAUUGGAGGGCAAGUCUGGUGCCAGCAGCCGCGGUAAUUCCAGCUCCAAUAGCGUAUAUUAAAAUUGUUGCAGUUAAAAAGCUCGUAGUUGAAUUUCUGCUGCAUUACAUAUCUCUUGUUUGAGUUUGUUUUUGUGGCUUAUUUCGGUUUGAUUUUUUCUUUCCGGAUGAUUACUUUGAGAAAAUUAGAGUGCUCAAAGCAGGCUUUUGCCUUGAAUAGUUUAGCAUGGAAUAAUAAAGUAGGACUUUGGUUCUAUUUUGUUGGUUUUAGGUACCAAAGUAAUGGUUAAUAGGAACAGUUGGGGGCAUUCGUAUUUAAC